UAUUAAUCCCGUUACCAACAAUGCACGUACCGGUAUCGACGUGAUACAUUAACAAAGGAAGGUCUAGGAAUUAAUUAUAAACAAAGUCUCACAGCGCGCGUCUCAGGCAGCUGAGACGUCACCCGCACGCGUCAUAACAAACCGAGAUCUUUGAGUUUCUCGGAGCUUCGCAAAUCGCAAGUACCGUUUGCUGUGUUGUGCUUCGGAUCGAGUGAACGUUAUCGUUUUCGACUGUGCAAUAUAAGCACUGAUCAGAAUGCCACGAAGGUGUUGCAUGCCAAAUUGCAGAGACAAUUACGGCAAUGGGCCUAAAGUUUCCGUGUUUUAUAUUCCGUCUGAUGAAUCUACGACGGGAAUGGAUCUCGGCUGUUCACAAGCAAGACUGGGUGCAUAGUAAACAUUCAGUUGUUUGUAAGCAGCAUUUCAACUAAGAAGAUACAUUAAGCAGUACAAGUAUGUACGACCCAAGAACUGGCAAACUGUUAACAGCAGCACCACUGGAUCGUCUACGCUUAAGAAAAGUUAGGUUAAAGAACCAAAUGUUAGGCAGAGGCCUAUUUGUAAAUUAUAAUGUAAUAAGGAGAAAGUUAGUUGUAUAGUUGCAUGUCGUUUGACGUUAAGAUUUUCUUUUUCAGGUGCUAUACCUACAAAGUUACCGUAUGCCCUUGAUAUUUGUCCAAUAUGCCGACAUCAUCCCGAGAGGACCCCGAAAGUCGCAGGGAGCUGCAACAAAACUGCCCUUCGCACUGCCAUUCGAGAAAGUGUAGAAACGCAAGAGAAAUUGAUAGAAACGAUUUCUGUCUGUAAUUUAGAGUAGUUGAAACGCAAAAUAAGUGACUGUGAUAAGCAUUGCGACGGAAUUGUAGUUAACAAAUUAGAGAGCGAGUGCUUAUUGUUAAUUAACCACAAUCCUUCCCCAAGAGUUAUCUGCUACUGUGUUAUAAACAGUGAUUUAUCUCUAAGCGUUUUUAUUAACGAUGUGGAAUUGAAAUGUGUUGAGAAGAUGAAAUUUUCCAAAAGUCUGCAACACACAGGAUGUGAGUGAAAAUUUAUUUGGUGUAUAAUAAAUGUGAGGUUCCUGUUGAUAA